CCUACGGGGAGCAGCAGUGGGGAAUAUUGGACAAUGGGCGAAAGCCUGAUCCAGCCAUGCCGCGUGUGUGAAGAAGGCCUUCGGGUUGUAAAGCACUUUCAGUGGGGAAGAAAGCCUUGGGGCUAAUACCCUCGAGGAAGGACAUCACCCACAGAAGAAGCACCGGCUAACUCCGUGCCAGCAGCCGCGGUAAUACGGAGGGUGCGAGCGUUAAUCGGAAUUACUGGGCGUAAAGCACGCGUAGGCGGUCUGAUAAGCCGGUUGUGAAAGCCCCGGGCUCAACCUGGGAACGGCAUCCGGAACUGUCAGGCUAGAGUGCAGGAGAGGAAGGUAGAAUUCCCGGUGUAGCGGUGAAAUGCGUAGAGAUCGGGAGGAAUACCAGUGGCGAAGGCGGCCUUCUGGACUGACACUGACGCUGAGGUGCGAAAGCGUGGGUAGCAAACAGGAUUAGAUACCCGGGUAGUC
rnacentral:rRNA from 1 species